AGCUGUUAUGUAACAAAAUUAAUUAGCCAUGUCAAUAUGAGUGGGCGGGUGAAUAGGCUGCGGUGUUAUCACCCACUAAAUUAACCACAGUACUCAUUCAAUAGCAUGAUAACACUUCUCAGAUGCAUUAUGGCGGGUAUUUUGCGACCUCUGGUUCUCUUAGACUUAUUACAAAAUGGCUGACCAGACAUUCUCAAGAUCCAAGCUCAAGAGGCUCAAUCGAAAAGCUAGAGUUGACAAAAUUGGCAAGCAGCUGUGUAUGGAGAAGAAGAGCCUUGAAUGUGCCGAGAAAAAUGUUCAGAAUUGGAAGAAGAAGGCAAUAGAUUAUAAACUGGAACUCAACGUGUAUCGAGCUAAGCAAUUACGGACAGGAACUCUGGGAACAUCCUGCAGUCACCAACGACCACUAAAGUUACUAACAGCAGCCAUGAAGACGAGUGCAAUCAGUCUACCCAAGGCAACUCCAAGAAUGUGUACGAAUGCUGAUAUUAUGCGAGGAGUUACUGUAGUUCCAGAGAUAAGUGAGAAAUGUUUAGCAGAUGGGGGUGGUGAUGUUCAUAUAGGAAAUGGUCGGUUUGGAACAUGCUCUCGUAUGAUUUUUAAAGAGUGUUUUGACGUCUGUGUCAAAACAUUUACUUCCGACUCCUCAAUCGAAUCGAUUAGGCAUGAAGCCAGUAUAUUACUUACAUUAAAUUCCAGCCCUUAUAUACCACACUGUUUUGGUAUUUGUUCCACCAGGAGAGCUUUAGUAAUGUCUAAUGUAAGCGUGAAGCAGCAACAAGUUUCAUUAUAAUUAUUCUGCCUUGUAUUCGACUAACGAAAUUAAAUUAAGCCCUAAGACAUGGAUGCAAAUACUGAUCCAAAUUUGUGAUGGUCUAUCAUACAUGCACAAGCUGAGUAUUCUUCACAAUGAUCUUAAAGUAGACAACGUAGUAUUAGGGACUACUUUGUUAGAAUGUAUCCGGCCAUGUAUUGUGGAUUUUGGAAAGGCAUGUAAAGAAAAGCAUGCUAAGAAGUACUGCCUGACCGAGGAACAGAAAGUUAUUUACAUAAAAGAACACACUCAAGUAGCUCCAGACCUCCGCGAUGGGCUUGUUUUACAGAGCACACAGAGCGAUAUAUACUCAUUAGGUAGAAUAAUGAAGAAGAUGAACUCCAUUGUAAUUAAGUCAACUGAACUUGCCCAUGUAAUUAAGGAAUGUCUUUCUUAUCAUGCUCAUGACCGUCCUAGCUUAGAAACCAUUUCUCUUAAUGUUGAAUGACUAUGUGACUAAUUAUGUCUUACAUUCAUUCGUUCAUGUUUAAAUCUGGUGCUAGCUUUAACUAUGACAUAGUCUAUGUAUAAUUGUAGGCAAAUCCGUGCUCUCUAAUGGAAGGCUGACAAGGUUAGCUGUAAGUCGGGAUGCGUGUUGACCCAGCCAUUUGUUUGAGAGUCAUUAAAAGCAUUAUGGUAGAGAAUUGGCCUGAAGCAGUUAGUUAUGAGUCACAUAGUGCGUAUUGGCUGCUCAGGUUGGGCCAUGCAUGCAUUAACAAUUAACAAUUAACAAUGAUCAACAACGUUUUUUCACCAGAUUUACACAUACAAUUUCAGAUAGUAGUCUAGGUGACUCUAACAUUUCACCAUUGCUAUUUCUAUAUGUUUUCGGUCCAUACUUAAUUCUAGGACAUACUACAAUAGGAAAAUCUACUGUGCAGCCAUUGCCAUAUCUAUCAUACAAAAUAUACCAACUACCUAUAAAAUAUUCAUCGUUAAAAUCAGUUUGUUGAAGUUGGAGCUUUCCGCGGGUCAUUUGGGUUCCUCGAUCUUUAAAUAGGUAACGAAAUACAUCUAGCCGGAAAUCUAUAGUUAAAUUACAGGAUUUUACAGUACCUAAAUUUAAACUACAUUGAAUGGACAGAACAAAUCUUCUUGUUGCGUCGCUUAUAAGCUCGGUAUG